GAUGAAGAACGCAGCGAAAUGCGAUAAGUAAUGUGAAUUGCAGAAUUCAGUGAAUCAUCGAAUCUUUGAACGCACAUUGCGCCCGCCAGUAUUCUGGCGGGCAUGCCUGUCCGAGCGUCAUUUCAACCCUCGAACCCCUCCGGGGGGUCGGCGUUGGGGAUCGGCCCCGCCUCUUGGCGGUGGCCGUCUCCGAAAUACAGUGGCGGUCUCGCCGCAGCCUCUCCUGCGCAGUAGUUUGCACACUCGCAUCGGGAGCGCGGCGCGUCCACAGCCGUUAAACACCCAACUUCUGAAAUGUUGACCUCGGAUCAGGUAGGAAUACCCGCUGAACUUAAGCAUAUCAAUAAGCGGAGGA
rnacentral:misc_RNA from 1 species